AGUGAACGCUGGCGGUAGGCCUAACACAUGCAAGUCGAACGGCGGCACAGUAAGAGCUUGCUCUUACGGGUGGCGAGUGGCGGACGGGUGAGGAAUACAUCGGAAUCUACUUUUUCGUGGGGGAUAACGUAGGGAAACUUACGCUAAUACCGCAUACGACCUACGGGUGAAAGCGGGGGAUCUUCGGACCUUGCGCGAUUGAAUGAGCCGAUGUCGGAUUAGCUAGUUGGCGGGGUAAAGGCCCACCAAGGCGACGAUCCGUAGCUGGUCUGAGAGGAUGAUCAGCCACACUGGAACUGAGACACGGUCCAGACUCCUACGGGAGGCAGCAGUGGGGAAUAUUGGACAAUGGGCGCAAGCCUGAUCCAGCCAUACCGCGUGGGUGAAGAAGGCCUUCGGGUUGUAAAGCCCUUUUGUUGGGAAAGAAAAGCAGCAGGUUAAUACCCCGCUGUUCUGACGGUACCCAAAGAAUAAGCACCGGCUAACUUCGU
rnacentral:rRNA from 1 species